rnacentral:rRNA from 1 species
GACGAACGCUGGCGGCGCGCUUAACACAUGCAAGUCGAGCGAUGAAAUUUCGACAGAUCCCUUCGGGGUGAAGAUGAAAUGGAUUAGCGGCGGACGGGUGAGUAACACGUGAGUAACCUGCCUUAGACAUUGGGAUAGCCUCGAGAAACCGGGAUUAAUACCAAAUGAAAUCACAUAUGCACAUGCAUAAAUGAUCAAAGCUCCGGCGGUCUAAGAUGGACUCGCGUCCCAUUAGCUAGUUGGUGAGGUAACGGCCCACCAAGGCGACGAUGGGUAGCCGGCCUGAGAGGGUGAACGGCCACAUUGGAACUGAGAAACGGUCCAAACUCCUACGGGAGGCAGCAGUGGGGAAUAUUGCACAAUGGAGGGAACUCUGAUGCAGCGACGCCGCGUGAACGAAGAAGGCUUUCGAGUCGUAAAGUUCUUUUAUAUGGGAAGAUAAUGACGGUACCAUAAGAAAAAGCCCCGGCUAACUACGUGCCAGCAGCCGCGGUAAUACGUAGGGGGCUAGCGUUGUCCGGAAUCACUGGGCGUAAAGGGUUCGCAGGCGGAAAUGCAAGUCAGGUGUAAAAGGCAGUAGCUUAACUACUGUAAGCAUUUGAAACUGCAUAUCUUGAGAAGAGUAGAGGUAAGUGGAAUCUUUAGUGUAGCGGUGAAAUGCGUAGAUAUUAAAAAGAAUACCGGUGGCGAAGGCGACUUACUGGGCUCAUUCUGACGCUGAGGAACGAAAGCGUGGGUAGCAAACAGG